CUGCGCUUCCCAGAACUCCCGUAUUAAUGACCCGGAGCCACAUGACAGAGCAUGACACAGCACUUUUGGGCACAAGGCCGGGCCCAGAGGGGCGCGAGGGGGCUCAGCCCGGCCCCCAGCCUGACCAGCGGCCCAGAGACGGCAGAGCAGUGACACGCAAAGCCCCAGCACUGCGGAGAUCGCAAACACAGAGUCGUCCAAAGGUGUGCUGCGUCCUUCUGGAUCCCACUGCUCCUGCCCCACCGCCCGCUCCCUCUCCCAGCAGCCCUGGGGUCCCCUCCAGCGUGGUGUCUGAGUGGAAUCGUCCAGUGGAUGCUUGCUUGGCCUUCUCUACCUCCACAUCAAAAAGCCCUCUUCACCGCCUUCCUUCAGACUGUGGAGGCCAGGACAGCUGACAGCUGAGAAUGGGGGUGGCUGUGUCCCUCGUGGCUUCACAGGGGUGCAGUCAGCAAGAUGAGGCAGAGCGGUGCCCACACACGGCCUGCAGCUGCCAGGCAGUAAUUAACCCUCACAGCAACCCUCUGAAGUCCACACUCGAGGCAGACAUAUCAUUAAACCCACUUUAAGGGAAGCAGCAGCGGGCCAGUGCCCUUCACCUGAUCAGAGCUCAGGAGAGAUCCUGGAAGGCCCUGGGGCUUUGCUCCCCACCUCCUGCCUCCCAGAGGCACAGGGGCAUGAUUCCAAGCCAGUGGAAGGGAUGGAAUCCUGGGACAUGCCCUUGCCCUCUGCUGGGCCCGUUUCCUCCUUGGUAAAGUGAGGCUGCUAUGCCCACCUUAUAAUUUCUUAUAAUUUUGUCCUGAGCAUAACGCAUGGGACCUGCCUAUGAUCUGCCUCCUCGCCGUCUCCUUGCUUGGCCACACUGAGCUCCUCACUGUUCCCUGAACUCACCAAGCCCCUUCCUACCUCAGGGCCUUUGUAUGUGCAGCACCAUCUACCUGGAAUGUCCUGCCUUCCUAUCUCCCCAGGGCUGGUACCUUCUCAUCUUUUUGGGCUUAAACAUCACCCCCUCAGCGUAGAGAGCACCCCACCAUCCCUCACUCUGCUUUCUUCUUCCUAACAAAGGGAUGCAGGCUUCUCACUCUUUUUCUUCUUUGUGUUGUUCUUGACACCACAGGCAGACUUUAUCUGUCUGAUUGACAGUGCGCUCCCAGAGCUCAGCAGUGUCCAGUAAACAGUAGGUGCUUAAGAAACAACGGCUUCCCUCGCUUCAUUCUUUGCCAGCUCCAAGUCAGCUGGGAGUUGUUUUCCACCUCUCUGGUCCCCCAUUCCCCCUGGAGGACACAGCAGGCACUGGACAUGGGUUACUUGAAAGACUCAGGUAGUUUGAAAUCCGAAGACGUGAGGCUCAUGGUGUCCCUGGGCAGCGGGUAGGUGGGGACUCCAGAAGCCUUUGGUGCAGACGCCCUGUCCCUACCACCUGCCCUCCUUCGCCUCAGGUUUGUGGGCUCGCUCUGGGCAGAUCUCCAGAGCCAUCCCCACCCCCGCACACCUGUCAGCACCCUUGGGGGAAAGAAUCUGGAAAGGGGAGGAAGAAGAAGAAAAGAAAGCAGGGUGCAAAGGGACGGCCCCAACACCUGUGUAAAUAAUUUGUCAUCUUAAGACGCAUCAAGUACACUCACCUUUAGUGCCCGGUCCUUGGGCUUGUUUUCCUUGGCAAGGCCUCCACAGGAGUGGAAUUUCGGCCAAAGGGACCCAAUUGUCGUCUUCUAAGCAUGUUCCCGGGCCAGGGGCCGGGAAAGGCUCUGGCUGACUCUCCACUUCCGUCCGCAGAAGUACCGGAAGGUUCCUGGGAUUUAGGAGCAGCCUCCAGCUCUGGAAGCUGUCCCAGAAUUCUGGAAUGCUGGAAUUUAAACAGCCACCAUCCCAUUUUGCAGAGGAGGAGUAUGAGGCCCAGAGGGGAAGGGAUUGGCCUGUAGUCACAUGACGUGUGAGGCGAACUAGUUCGCUGGUGGAAGGGGACACUGUGGACCCCUUCAUUUCCUGCAGCCCUUGAGGUUUGGGGGAUGCCCAGGCCUCCUGUCUCCAGGGGCGCACAUGUUUUGCUGUAGUGAUUGGGUCAGGAGUGGUCAUGUGACUAAGUUUGCGCAAUGAGAUUCUACCGUGGGGCUUUGGUGCUGGGAUGUUUGAGGAGAUGCCGUUUCCCUUCAGGUUGACGGUGAGCAAGGGAAAACUGCUCAAGAAACCAGCUCAGAGCUGGACAGGGUCUGCAUGCCUGGAUCCAGCCAUACCUGAGAUCACACACUCUUGGCCUAUCUAGUUUCAUAAGCCACUACAUUUCCUGUUUUUGGCAGGAAAGAGUUUGGCCUGGGUUUUUAUCGCUUGCACACAGAAGUUUCUGACUGACCCAUGGCACAGGGGAAGGGGAGAGAUUGCAGGUAGAGGAAAUAGCCUGACAGGGAACACAAAGCAACCAUUUCCAGGGAGGUGUCCCGAAGCAGGGAGAAGAGGAAGAGCUUAGGAAUCUGGCAGGUGGCCGGGGUGGGAGAAAGCACAUGGAACCACAACGUGAAGGUUUGGAAGGGUGAUCGCACGCUGGAAGGCUGUGUCCCAGACUUGUGCAGGGUGACAGAGGACACUGGUGAAAACGGCACCGAGCCCACCGCUGCCCGACAACCACAGCUCAGUGAUGCGCCUCUGUCUAGAGCCGAGCCUGUCCUACCCCCGGCCCUGGCUGAGGCCUCACAGUGCCAUCCUGGACCCCUACAUAUGCUCCUUAUUCGGUCCUGGGCACCAUGAGUGCCACACAGAAUCACUUCAGGGUCCCCCGACACAGUGUAAGAUCGAUCCGGGUCCUGUAGCAGGAAUAAUUCCUGCGGCAAAUCUAUAGCCAUCGUAGUACUUGCUAAACUCUGCUGUGAAAAGAGCAGCCCCAGGCUUGGUCCCCUCGGUGUGCCUGGCUGAUUUCUAGCACCCUGUGCAGAUCUGCAGGAGCUCAGAGCCGGGCAAUCCACAGGCAAACCACAGAGCCACUUUCCCCAGACCCCUGCUCUCAGAGCCCCACCUUCAGAAUCCCCGUAUGGGUUUCAGGUGUUCAGUCUUUCUCUCUGGUCUGUUUUCUGUU